GACGAACGCUGGCGGCGUGCUUAACACAUGCAAGUCGAACGGAAAGGCCCUGCUUUUGUGGGGUGCUCGAGUGGCGAACGGGUGAGUAACACGUGAGUAACCUGCCCUUGACUUUGGGAUAACUUCAGGAAACUGGGGCUAAUACCGGAUAGGAGCUCCUGCUGCAUGGUGGGGGUUGGAAAGUUUCGGCGGUUGGGGAUGGACUCGCGGCUUAUCAGCUUGUUGGUGGGGUAGUGGCUUACCAAGGCUUUGACGGGUAGCCGGCCUGAGAGGGUGACCGGCCACAUUGGGACUGAGAUACGGCCCAGACUCCUACGGGAGGAAGCAGUGGGGAAUAUUGCACAAGGGGCGGAAGCCGGAUGCGGCAACGCCGCGUGCGGGAGGACGGCCUUCGGGUUGUAAACCGCUUUCGCCUGUGACGAAGCGUGGGUGACGGUAAUGGGUAAAGAAGCACCGGCUAACUACGU
rnacentral:rRNA from 1 species